CUGAGACUGUGCACAGUGCUAAUAACAGGUGUGAGCAGGAAGCACUCAGGAACGUUGGCUACUCACACUAAACUCAGCGGUGCACACAGUACAUGGCAGGUCAGGAGAGCACCCUUUGUGGAACAGCGUUUUGGAGCCAGCCAAGAAGUCAAUGACUUUUCAAUUUGGGGAGGAGGCUUCUCUCCCAGGGAGGUGACACUGCUGGUGACUCCCACCCCCGGUGUCCCCAGGCUGGGGCUCCAGGGAAGGCUGUGCGGCACCGCCCCCUGUGGCAGGCAGGGGUGGCUGCAGGGCCAUGCUGGUGGGGUGGGAGUGGUCCAGGGAGGCCUGAGCCCUGUCAUCUCGCUCCACAGAUCUACCGGAGGUGCUGGCUGGUGUUCCGGAAAUCCUCCAGCAAGGGGCCCCAGCGGCUGGAGAAGUAUCCAGAUGAGAAGUCGGUGUGCCUCCGGGGCUGCCCCAAGGUGACUGAGAUCAGCAACGUCAAGUGUGUUACGCGGCUCCCCAAGGAGACCAAGCGGCAGGCGGUGGCCAUCAUAUUCACUGAUGACUCGGCACGUACCUUCACCUG
rnacentral:lncRNA from 10 species